rnacentral:rRNA from 1 species
GCCAGAGCCACAUCUCCCCUGCAGUUCUCGCCUGGUUUCCCACUGAAGCUAAGCAGGGUUAAUCCUGGCCAGUACCUGGAUGGGAGACCUCCUGGGGAAAACUAAGCUUGCUGCUGGAA